AACAAACGCUGGCGGCGUGCCUAAUACAUGCAAGUCGAACGGGGAAAGCUUUCGGGUGAGUACUAGUGGCGCACGGGUGAGGAUCGCGUGGAUAAUCUGCUUUAGAGUGGGGGAUAACUAGUCGAAAGAUUAGCUAAUACCGCAUAAGACCACAGGAGCUGCGGCUCAAGGGGUCAAAGGUUUUUCGCUCUAAGAUGAGUCCGCGUAAGAUUAGCUAGUUGGUGAGGUAACGGCUCACCAAGGCGACGAUCUUUAACUGGUCUGAGAGGAUGAUCAGUCACACUGGAACUGAGACACGGUCCAGACUCCCACGGGAGGCAGCAGUAGGGAAUAUUGCACAAUGGAGGAAACUCUGAUGCAGCGACGCCGCGUGAGUGAUGAAGGCCUUCGGGUCGUAAAGCUCUGUCGCAGGGGAAUAACACAAUGAAGGUACCCUGUAAGAAAGGAUCGGCUAACUUCGUGCCAGCCGCCGCAGUAACAC
rnacentral:rRNA from 1 species